UACGGAGGGGGCUAGCGUUGUCCGAAGUUACUGGGCGUAAAGCGCGCGUAGGCGGGUUGGUAAGUCCGCUGUGAAAGCCCGGAGCUCAACUCCGGAGGGUCGGUGGAUACUGCCAGUCUUGAAGGUGCUAGGGGGAGAUGGGAAUUACCGGUGUAGCGGUGAAAUGCGUAGAUAUCGGUAGGAACACCAGUGGCGAAGGCGGUCUCCUGGGGCAUUCUUGACGCUGAGGCGCGAAAGCUGGGGGGAGCGAACGGG
rnacentral:rRNA from 1 species